rnacentral:RNase_P_RNA from 2 species
CAAGGUAAGCUAGAUGAUCGCGGGUGGCCAAUGGCCGCUUGAGGAAAGUCCGGGCUCCAUAGGACAUGACGCCGGGUAACACCCGGGAGCGGUAACGCUAUAGAGAGCGCCACAGAAAAAAUACCGCCGGUUUUCCGGUAAGGGUGAAAUGGUGGGGUAAGAGCCCACCGCACCACUGGUAACAGGGGUGGCAGGGUAAGCCUCGUCAGGAGCAAAACCAAGCAGCAGGUGGGUGGUCCGCCCUGAUCCUGCGGGUCGGUUGCUAAAGAUUCUUGGCAACAAGGAUCUUGGAUAGAUGAUCAUCACAAACAGAACCCGGCUUAUUGCUUGCCUUGUUUU